UCCUUAUGAUGAGCUCUCAAAUUUCUGACACCUCGUUUGAGUAUUGCUUGAACAAUACCUGAUUUCACAGUAGAGCUGAAGCAA